rnacentral:lncRNA from 1 species
GGAAGGUCUGGCUCCUUCUCCUUCUCCUUCUACUUAGUCCAGAAGAUGCUCUGCAAAGCCCACUUGGAAUAUUGUUGAGUUGAUCUGAACUGUUCUGGAGAAAGACACAGAGGAAUGAAGUGGUUUCUAUGGCCACAUCACUUGGUGGCAGAACAAACUAAAUUCUCUACCCUGGGCAUGAUGAACUCCAAUACGGAGUAAAUGUGCCUUUGCUGCCUGCCAGCUGCCAGCUUCCACUUCCUCCCCACAAGACAAAUGCAUAUGAAGACGGUAUGCGCUCGUCUGGCCUCAUUUAGGUUUUUGUUAGUCAUCCCUGCUGUCGCUGGCCUGUGACCUUGGAAGGACUAUUUGAGCAGCUUGAAUGGAGUGAUCAGCAGAAGAAAGAAGAAAUUUGAACACACAAAGGACAAGUGCAGAGACAGAGGGAUGACCAUGUGAGGACACGGCAAAGAAGCCAACAUAACACAGAGACUGAGACUCUGAGGAAUGUGAUAUGGAGAUGGAAAAAUGGGAGGAAGAAACAUGGCUCAGAAAGAUCAAAUGAUUUGUUCACAGUCAUACAGAUAUUAAAGGACACUUUGGGAUUUGAACAAAUUAUGAUUAAAUAAAAAAUUGGCCUUUUCAACCAUGUAGUAUAAUCAGUCUUGCCAAGAAAUUCAAUGAGGUGCUAUAUUAGAUCUUUGGAAUCAGACCUCGGCUCAAGUCCUUGCUCCACUAUUUCUUCCUUAAAGUAUCUAUACCUUAGUUGUCUCUUCACUAAAAUGGAGACAUGUGCCAUACCUUUGACAUGUUAUUCCUAGGAUGAGAUAAUUUAUACAUCUUAAAUUCUUCAGCAGUUUCUGUUCCUGCAGGCAAGGAUGCUUGAGAAAAAUAUGAGAAAACUACAGAAACAACUCAAAACUUUUCUGACUUCCUUAAAAGAACAUCUCCACGGAGGUUUACAGUGAGCUGGUAACAGAGCUGCUGCACUCCAGCCUGGGUGACAGAGUGAGACUGUCUAAAAAAAAAU